AUGCAAGUCGAACGGCAGCACGGGGGCAACCCUGGUGGCGAGUGGCGAACGGGUGAGUAAUAUAUCGGAACGUGCCCAGUCGUGGGGGAUAACGUAGCGAAAGUUACGCUAAUACCGCAUACGAUCUAAGGAUGAAAGCGGGGGAUCGCAAGACCUCGCGCGAUUGGAGCGGCCGAUAUCAGAUUAGGUAGUUGGUGGGGUAAAGGCUCACCAAGCCAACGAUCUGUAGCUGGUCUGAGAGGACGACCAGCCACACUGGGACUGAGACACGGCCCAGACUCCUACGGGAGGCAGCAGUGGGGAAUUUUGGACAAUGGGCGCAAGCCUGAUCCAGCCAUUCCGCGUGCAGGACGAAGGCCUCGGGUUGUAAACUGCUUUUGUACGGAACGAAAAAGCCUUGGCUAAUACCCAGGGUCCAUGACGGUACCGUAAGAAUAAGCACCGGCUAACUACGUGCCAGCAGCCGCGGUAAUACGUAGGGUGCAAGCGUUAAUCGGAAUUACUGGGCGUAAAGCGUGCGCAGGCGGUUAUAUAAGACAAAUGUGAAAUCCCCGGGCUCAACCUGGGAACUGCAUAUGUGACUGUAUAGCUAGAGUGCGGCAGAGGGGGAUGGAAUUCCGCGUGUAGCAGUGAAAUGCGUAGAUAUGCGGAGGAACACCGAUGGCGAAGGCAAUCCCCUGGGCCUUCACUGACGCUCAUGCACGAAAGCGUGGGGAGCAAACAGGAUUAGAUACCCU
rnacentral:rRNA from 1 species